UGGGUCACAGGUUCUGUCUGUAACCUCCAUACCUCCCCUCCCUCCCACCUCAGUCCCUCCCUUCUGUCUCCAUUCUGUCAGGGGGAGAGGUGGCAUUUGUUAUGGGGAGAGGCUGACAGCUCUCAUGCACAUCAGUCUCACUGCCACUCUCCCAACCGUCACCAUUAGGAAAGAGCACAUGCCCGAGCCUGGCACAACUUCAGAGGAGCUCCUCCACAGCCAGAGCCAUACAGUACAUGCUGAAGGCAGCACACUGCACCUUAGCCCCGCAAGCCAAAUGAGACAAUCUUAUCAUCAGUUCCUGGCCUCCAUUUAUAUUCAAGGACUCUUUAACGGGAGGCUAUUGCUGUUUCUGUCUUGCAAUAACGUCAAAUGAACCAGUGUGCGGUUUUUGCUAUUAUGUGCAUUGUUCAGAUGUAUACAUUGUAAGAAAAGACAAUAUUGGUUCAUACAUAGGCCCACACCAGUUGACAGUUUGUUGCAGUUUGUAACUGAUUAUGUUUUGUUUGCAGUACACACAGUCAUUUGUAAGUAUUUUGUAAUGUAUUUACCUUCCUGCCUCUGCCUUUGUAUGUCUCUGGUUUGCAUAACAUUCAGAAAUACCCCCAGGUAUCUGAAACACUGAAAAGGGUUGAUGAUAGCAUUUUGCAUAAGGUCUGUAUAAUUUCCAAAGGUCAAAGGUCAGGGGCAGCUAAAGAACAGCAGGUGUGCUUAUAGGGACUCAGUUUCUUGCAAAACAUGACUUUUGUACUAGUCUGAGGAUCUACACACCUGCAAAAGUGCAGUUUUCAUAUAAUGUAAAAGUUGAGGGUUAAUAAGGUAAAAUUACUUAUUUUCAGCUGGCCGCACCAGUGCUAUGUGGAAAUAUGGAAUGUGUUGCAUGUUAUGUUGAUCUCUUAGGUAUUCUUUUUUUCUUUUUAUAUGAUUACAUAAAAUGCCCUCUUAUUUUCUAAUAAAUGAAACACCUGUUAACACACCACCUCAAAA